CCCCUAGUAACUGCGAGUGAAGCGGGAAGAGCUCAAAUUUAAAAUCUGGCAGUCUUCUGGCUGUCCGAGUUGUAAUCUGGAGAAGCGUUUUCUGUGUUAGACCGUGUACAAGUCUCCUGGAACGGAGUGUCAUAGAGGGUGAGAAUCCCGUCCAUGACACGGACUACUAAUACUUUGUGAUACGCUCUCGAAGAGUCGAGUUGUUUGGGAAUGCAGCUCAAAAUGGGUGGUAAAUUCCAUCUAAAGCUAAAUACAGGCGAGAGACCGAUAGCGAACAAGUACCGUGAGGGAAAGAUGAAAAGCACUUUGGAAAGAGAGUUAAACAGUACGUGAAAUUGUUGAAAGGGAAACGCUUGAAGUCAGUCGCGUUGUGCAGAACUCAGCCUUGCCUCGGCUUGGUGUACUUUCUGCACAACGGGUCAACAUCAAUUUUGGCCCAUGGAGAAAGGUGGGGGGAAUGUAGCGCUGUUUCGGCAGCGUGUUAUAGCCCUCUAUUGUAUACAUGGGCUGGGAUUGAGGAUCGCAGCACGCCCUUGUGGCCGGGGGUUCGCCCUACGUACCGUGCUUAGGAUGUUGGCAGAAUGGCUUUAAGCGACCCGUCUUGAAACACGGACCAAGGAGUCUAACAUGCUUGCGAGUGUUCGGGUGGAAAACCCUUGUGCGUAAUGAAAGUGAAAGUUGGGAACCUCCGCAAGGGGGUGCACCGACGCCCGGCCCUGACGUUCUCUGACGGUGCUGCGGUAGAGCAAGUAUGCUAGGACCCGAAAGAUGGUGAACUAUGCCUGAAUAGGGCGAAGCCAGAGGAAACUCUGGUGGAGGCUCGUAGCGAUUCUGACGUGCAAAUCGAUCGUCAAAUUUGGG
rnacentral:rRNA from 1 species